rnacentral:rRNA from 1 species
AUACAUGAGUAAAGCGGCGCACGGGUGAGUAACACGUGGAUAACCUGCCUCAAAGUGGGGAAUAACACCGGGAAACCGGUGCUAAUACCGCAUAUUCUGACGAGAUCUGUGGAUUUUGUCAGGAAAGGAGCAAUUCGCUAUGAGAGGGGUCCGCGGCUGAUUAGCUAGUUGGUGAGGUAAUGGCUCACCAAGGCCACGAUCAGUAGCCGGUCUGAGAGGACGGUCGGCCACACUGGAACUGAGACACGGUCCAGACUCCUACGGGAGGCAGCAGUGGGGAAUUUUUCGCAAUGGGGGAAACCCUGACGAAGCAAUGCCGCGUGGAUGAUGAAGUAUCUCGGUACGUAAAAUCCUUUCGACGGGGACGAAACCGCAAGUUGACGGUACCCGUAAAAGAAGCCCCGGCUAACUCCGUGCCAGCAGCCGCGGUAAUACGGGGGGGGCAAGCGUUGUUCGGAAUUACUGGGCGUAAAGGGUGCGUAAGCGGCUUUCUAAGUUGGAUGUGAAAACUCUGGGCUCAACCCAGAGACUGCAUCCAAAACUGGAGAGCUUGGGUUCUGGAAGGGAGAACGGAAUUCCUGGUGUAACGGUGAAAUGCGUAGAUUCC